rnacentral:tRNA from 6 species
AGGUGAGUAGCUCAGUGGGAGAGCGACGCCCUUACAAGGCGUAGGUCGCAGGUUCGACCCCUGUCUCACCUA